CCUACGGGAGGCAGCAGUCGGGAAUUUUGGGCAAUGGGCGAAAGCCUGACCCAGCAACGCCGCGUGAAGGAUGAAGUAUUUCGGUAUGUAAACUUCGAAAGAAUAGGAAGAAUAAAUGACGGUACUAUUUAUAAGGUCCGGCUAACUACGUGCCAGCAGCCGCGGUAAUACGUAGGGACCAAGCGUUGUUCGGAUUUACUGGGCGUAAAGGGCGCGUAGGCGGCUCUGUAAGUCACUUGUGAAAUCUCUGAGCUUAACUCAGAACGGCCAAGUGAUACUGCAGUGCUAGAGUGUAGAAGGGGCAAUCGGAAUUCUUGGUGUAGCGGUGAAAUGCGUAGAUAUCAAGAGGAACACCUGAGGUGAAGACGGGUUGCUGGUCUAACACUGACGCUGAGGCGCGAAAGCCAGGGGAGCAAACGGGAUUAGAUACCCCGGUAGUCCUGGCCCUAAACGAUGAAUACUUGGUGUCUGGAACUCUAAAGUUCUGGGUGCCGUCGCUAACGUUUUAAGUAUUCCGCCUGGGGAGUACGCUCGCAAGAGUGAAACUCAAAGGAAUUGACGGA
rnacentral:rRNA from 1 species